AUACAGAGGGUGCGAGCGUUAAUCGGAAUUACUGGGCGUAAAGCGCGCGUAGGCGGCUACUUAAGUCAGAUGUGAAAUCCCCGGGCUCAACCUGGGAACUGCAUCUGAUACUGGGUAGCUAGAGUUUUGGAGAGGGAAGUAGAAUUUCAGGUGUAGCGGUGAAAUGCAUAGAGAUCUGAAGGAAUACCAGUGGCGAAGGCGACUUCCUGGACAAAAACUGACGCUGAGGUGCGAAAGCGUGGGUAGCAAACGGGAUUAGAAACCCCAGUAGUCC
rnacentral:rRNA from 1 species